UUUUCUCAAGACUUCAGCUGCUUUGUUGGCGGCCGGGCCUGGCUCUCAGCAGCUCUGCAGGCUGGAAGGGCCCAAGAGACCCUCCACCCACCGGGUGUCUCCAGCAGCAGGGAGGGCUCUGGGGCGCAGCCCAUUGCUGCUCUGCCCUCCUCCCUUCUUGGGUGCCAGGCAGGUUUUUGUGAGCAGAGCAGACAGAGAAGAGAUGCCCAGUGAGGUUGGCUGUCCGCUGCAGAGCUUCCCAGAGCCUGAGCUCCGGGCUGAGGGUCCCUGGACAGACGUCAUCUCCCGGGCUUCAGUGGAAUCACUCACAAAGCCACCCGGUGCCCACCCUCCCACCACAGAGAGCAGCUGUUGGAGAACCCGACAUGAGGCUUUGGAGACCUUGAGGAGGAGGAGACACGGGAGAUGAUGGCUGGGAUGGUCACCGUGGCACGGCUGUGCCGUCACUGAUUUCUGCCCACCCGCCCCCUAAGUCUCACUCUCAAUUUCCUACUUAAUUCUUUGGAGAGCACCAGUCCUGAGAUGAGAGGUGGUAUGUUCACUCUCUGGGAGUUGAGAUGGAACCCAGGCAGUCAGAUAAAAGUGCCGCAGCCACGUGCUGGGCCUACUACAUGCCAGGAGCGUCACUAUCAUCCAAUUCCUAAAACGACUGUCCUGCGUGUGCUCCCCACACCUGGGCGACCCUGGGGGAAGCGGGGCUGCAGGAGGCUCAGUGACCUGCCCUGGGAGAAACGGAUGGCGUGGAUGCCUUGUCCGCGAGGGGCUGUGCCGGGAGAAGACAAGAUCAUUCCUGGAAGCUGGUCCAGCGUCUCCUGUGCAUGGUGCAGCUGCUUGGGCUGACACCCUCCUCCCUCUGCCUCCUGCUAGCCAGUCCCUGGGUGCAUUCAGGCAUGAAGCAGCAAGGUCUCUUGUCCCAGAAGUGACUGGGACCCACAAGCGAGUAGGCGCCCCCCGCCCCAUGCUAAUGCUCUUCACGGGAUGAAACCCAAGGUGGUAUCAGGGAGCCAGGGGCCAUGGCUGUGACAGCCACCCACUCCAGACCAUAGCCACAUUCGGAAUAGUUCAGAGUGGCCUGCCUUGAUGACGUCACAAAGGUCUCUAUGGAAAUGUGUCACAGAACCAGAACUUAAGGGCAUUUGGAUGAGGCUGAGGUGAGAUCAGGUCAUGGAAGAGCAUUCUCAAGUUAGGUGGGAAACAGCUGGAGACCCCAGGAUGUCCUCAGAACCUUUAUCUAAGCAAGCACAUGAUAAGGUCUUUCCCAAGAAAUAAGCAUGGCUUUUCGUCCUAGUUGAGAAAGGUUGUCGUAGAUCUUUUUCCCUUUUAACCUUGGCUGCCAGGAAGCUCAGUGCCAAGCUUUAUGCUCCACCCCGGACCUACUUUCCUUGGACUGGCUCUCGGGUGCAGCCCGGUCUCUCCCUUCUUUAUCGCAUGAGGCUGCCUGAUUUCUGUACAUUUUGCCCACUGGUGCUGACAGCUGGACACUCUUUCCUGAAGGAGCUGAUGCGUAGAGUGAGUGGAUGAUGACGGGCUGUGACAGGGCCUUCUGCCAAGGAUUUGGGCUACGGGGUGUGGGCUGGGAAGGAAGAGGAGGACCCUGCUCCUCAGAGGGCAACCAGGAACAUAUUCCAGGGAGCACAUGCCUGCAGGGUUAUCACAGCCACAGGCUGUGACGUGGACACUGGAAUAAACAGGAUGUGGCGAA